UAUCCUGACACUUUAAUGAAUUCUUGUAUGAGCUCUAGGAAUUUGGGGGUGGAGUUCUUUGGGUUUUGCACAUAGAGUAUCAUGACAUUUGCAAAGAGAGAG